AGAGUUUGAUUAUGGCUCAAGAUGAACGCUGGCGGCGUGCUUAACACAUGCAAGUCGAACGGACUCAUAUUGAAACCUAGUGAUGUAUGAGUUAGUGGCGGACGGGUGAGUAACGCGUGGAGAACCUGCCGUAUACUGGGGGAUAACACUUAGAAAUAGGUGCUAAUACCGCAUAAGCGCACGGCUUCGCAUGAAGCAGUGUGAAAAACUCCGGUGGUAUACGAUGGAUCCGCGUCUGAUUAGCUGGUUGGCGGGGUAAAGGCCCACCAAGGCGACGAUCAGUAGCCGGCCUGAGAGGGUGAACGGCCACAUUGGGACUGAGACACGGCCCAAACUCCUACGGGAGGCAGCAGUGGGGAAUAUUGCACAAUGGGGGAAACCCUGAUGCAGCGACGCCGCGUGAGUGAAGAAGUAUUUCGGUAUGUAAAGCUCUAUCAGCAGGGAAGAAAAUGACGGUACCUGACUAAGAAGCCCCGGCUAACUACGUGCCUGCAGCCGCGGUAAUACGUAUGGGGCAAGCGUUAUCCGGAUUUACU
rnacentral:rRNA from 1 species